rnacentral:sRNA from 1 species
AAUAAAGGAAGAACGACUAAGAACGCAACAUCCUGUUGCAACGUCGUUCUGACCCACAUCCUGUGGG